rnacentral:rRNA from 1 species
GGAGGUAGUGACAAUAAAUCACAAUGCGGGACUGUUAGUCUUGCAAUUGGAUUGAGAACAACGUACAACUCUUAUCGAUAAGCCAUUGGAGGGCAAGUCUGGUGCCAGCAGCCGCGGUAAUUCCAGCUCCAAUAGCGUAUAUUAACGUUGUUGCAGUUAAAAAGCUCGUAGUUGAAGUGAGGGAGUGUGUAGUAGGACCGACUUGAUCGGAACUGCUGCAACCUCCCCCCUCCAAUCGGUGUAGUGGGGUAUUCAGUUAUUCUACUACUCCUUUGGUCGUUUACUGUGAGAAAAUUAGAGUGUUCAAAGCGGGCGUUUGUUUGAAUAGAUUAGCAUGGAAUAAUGAUUGAAGGCUUUCGUGUUCGAUUUGAUUGGUUUGUUCAUGGAAGCAAGGUUAAAAGGAACAGUUGGGGGUAUUCAUAUUCACUAGUUAGAGGUGAAAUUCCCGGAUUUAUGGAAGAUGAACAAGUGCGAAAGCA